GAUGAACGCUGGCGGCGUGCCUAAUACAUGCAAGUCGAGCGAACGGACGAGAAGCUUGCUUCUCUGAUGUUAGCGGCGGACGGGUGAGUAACACGUGGAUAACCUACCUAUAAGACUGGGAUAACUUCGGGAAACCGGAGCUAAUACCGGAUAAUAUUUUGAACCGCAUGGUUCAAAAGUGAAAGACGGUCUUGCUGUCACUUAUAGAUGGAUCCGCGCUGCAUUAGCUAGUUGGUAAGGUAACGGCUUACCAAGGCAACGAUGCAUAGCCGACCUGAGAGGGUGAUCGGCCACCCUGGAACUGAGACACGGUCCUGACUCCUACGGGAGGCAGCAGUAGGGAAUCUUCCGCAAUGGGCGAAAGCCUGACGGAGCAACGCCGCGUGAGUGAUGAAGGUCUUCGGAUCGUAAAACUCUGUUAUUAGGGAAGAACAUAUGUGUAAGUAACUGUGCACAUCUUGACGGUACCUAAUCAGAAAGCCACGGCUAACUACGUG
rnacentral:rRNA from 1 species